AUGAAAAUGUAAACAACAAAGAUCGGGCCCCGGUUCCGGACCCAGCGUACCCGCCCUACCAUGAGACGAUCACCUCCACUCGUCUCCCUCAUUUUGGCCACUAAAUGGCCUAUAUUAGCCCGUGUCGGCCAUAAUGCCCACUCUCCCGAACAAUAUUAUUUUAGCCGGACAUGAUUUCUUUCAAUAGCUGUUUAGGAUCUCAUGCAAGCGGAUAAUUCAUUAACUUCACAGAAUUAAUUUUUUUAUUUUUUUACAACACUGAAUGGAACAGGCGACGAAAUACUACAAGGAUAUUGCUAGUCGCCGCAAAAGAAACGCGCAAGGAGGCACUUUAGAGGCAAUCGUUGCGCCGAUUUAGGAACAAUGGCCCACACAAUUACUUAAAACUGGAGCUCUCUGGGGGUGGUAAGGGGCGAUAUAAAUGCG